rnacentral:rRNA from 1 species
CAAAAAACCUUCGUGCGGAGGAGCAUGGCUGACCGUACUAAAACUGACACAGGUAGGCGUGGCGAGAAGCCUCAGGCGCUCGAGAGGACCCCACUUAAGGAACUAGGCAAUAUGACCCCGUAAGUUCGCGAUAAGGGGUACCUACCCUCUUCGGAGGGAGGUCGCAGAAAAUCGGCUCUGGCGACUGUUUACCAAAAACACAGGUCUCUGCCAACUCGCAAGAGGAUGUAUAGAGACUGACGCUUGCUCGGUGCCGGAAGGUUAAGGAAGCGGGUCAUCCGGAAUGCUUAACGGCAGGAAGGUGCAGCUCGCGACUAAAGCCCCGGUUAACGGCGGCCGUAACUAUGACGGUCCUAAGGUAGCGAAGUUCCUUGCCGGGUAAGUUCCGACGUGCAUGAAUAGCGUAACGACUGGAGCUCUGUCUCAAGUGGGGACUCGGUGAAAUCGUAGCGGUGGUAAAAAUACCACCUAGCUGCGGAAAGACGGGAAGACCCUAUGAACCUUUACUGUAACCUGACAUUGGCUCUUGGCUGAACUUGUGUAGGAUAGGUGGGAGGCUUUGAAGUCCGGACGCCAGUCCGGAUGGAGCCGUCGUUGAAAUACCACCCUGGUUCUGUUAAGCGUCUAACCUGGACCCGUGAAUCCGGGCCGGGAACAUUGCCAGGCGGGCAGUUUGACUGGGGCGGUCUCCUCCUAAAAGGUAACGGAGGAGUUCAAAGGUAGGCUUGGCACGGUUGGCAAUCGUGCUGUAAGGGUAAUGCUAUAAGCCUGCUUAACUGCGAGACUGAUAGGUCAAGCAGAUGGGAAACCAGGACAUAGUGAUCCUGCGGUGCUGUGUGGAAAGGCCGUAGCUCACCAGACAAAAGGUACUCUAGGGAUAACAGGCUGAUCGCUCCCGAGCGUCCAUAGCGGCGGAGCGGUUUGGCACCUCGAUGUCGGCUCGUCACAUCCUGGGGCUGAAGGCGGUCCCAAGGGUUCGGCUGUUCGCCGAUUAAAGUGGCACGCGAGCUGGGUUCAGACCGGCGUGAGCCAGGUCGGUCCCUAUCUUCCGUGGCCGUAGGAUACCUGAGAUGGUACUUCUUUAGUACGAGAGGAUUUUGAAGUACGAGCCGCUGGUGAUCCAGUUGUCCUGCCAAGGGCACCGCUGGGUAGCUAUGCUCGGAAAGGAUAAACGCUGAAAGCAUCUAAGUGUGAAGCCCUCAUCAAGACUAGGUAUCCAUGCCCUCACGGGCGAGAGACCCCUGGUAGACUACCAGGUUGAUAGGCGGGAGGUGUGAGCACAGUAAUGUGUUGAGCUGACCCGUACUAACGGUCGAUCACUUGACCAC